AAACUCAAAGGAAUUGACGGGGGCCCGCACAAGCGGCGGAGCAUGCGGAUUAAUUCGAUGCAACGCGAAGAACCUUACCAAGGCUUGACAUAUACCUGCAAAGGCUGGAAACAGUCUCCUCGCAAGACAGGUAUACAGGUGGUGCAUGGUUGUCGUCAGCUCGUGUCGUGAGAUGUUGGGUUAAGUCCCGCAACGAGCGCAACCCUCGUUCUAUGUUGCCAGCGCGUAAUGGCGGGAACUCAUAGGAGACUGCCGGGGUCAACUCGGAGGAAG
rnacentral:rRNA from 1 species